ensembl:lncRNA
AGAACUUCCUGCCACAGCAGAUUCACACUGACACUAUUCCUCCUACACAGAUACUGCAGUAUGUUGUACAUCCCUGAUCCUCAGUGUCAACAUUUCCUGAUCACAGAGUUCAGUAACACCAAUGUGACCAUCAGCCCACCACUGCUCACCUGCUGCACGCAGCUUUAUAACAGUGUGACAGUGUAUGAGCCAUGGAACGUGACGGCCGGGGAGGGAUUCAGUCAGAGUAGUCUGCAAGGCUGCUGCACACUCACACCGCCUAAACAUUUCAACUGCAGCUGGGUGCUGUGAGUCAACGGGAACAAAAACACACACCUCAAUGCCAGAAACACGUGUUGAUUUGUAAAAUUAAUGUGCAUUGUUAAUUGCUUUUUAAAUGAAGCUCUCCUUCACUGGUUCUGUACAAAAAGAAAAUUGUGCCACACACAGAAAGUAUGUUUUUGCAUGUGUGUCAAUUAUUAUUUACAUUUACAGCAGCAUAUAAAGUAAAUACAAUUAACUGUAACUGUAUGUUAUGUUAUUAACUGUAAUGUAUAAUCCAAUUAUAAAAAAAAUAUAUUCUUCUCAAGAAAAUAUCC